GCUGGGAUUACAGUCGUGAGCCACCGCACCCGACCCUAAUCGGCUUUUGCCAUCCAGUGUCGGGCCCAGCCUUCUCCCGCAAGUAUGCAAAACAAGUUGGUAAAAAUCAGAGAAGCUGGAUGGGUAAGCCUGAACUGUGAAGUUAGAUUUGUCGGUAAAAUGAUGGGGCUCUUCAGUAACUUCAGGAAAUGCCUUAGAUAUAGCAUGGAGUUCAGCUUUAGUUCCAGAGACAUAAGAAAUUUGAGGACCUCAGUGUCGUCAGACAGCCUGGUUUUAAGGGGAUAAGUUUUUAUAGGUUGAGGUUAUGAAGCAGAAGGGGAAGGGCUGUUAGUGGGGAAAGACAUCAGAAAAGAAAGAAAGAGAAGGGUUAAGAACCAGUAUAUGGGACCUGAGAGAGAAAGAUUUGGGCUUCAAAUGCUUUUUUUUUUUUUCUGAGACAGUCUCGCCUGUCGCCCAGGCUGGAGUGCAGUGGCAUGAUGUCAGCUCACUGCAACUUCUGCCCCCGGGUUCAAGCGAUUCUCCUGCCUCAGCCUCCCAAGUAGCUGGGACUACAGGCGCGUGCCACGAUGUCUGGUUAAUUUUUUUUUUUUUUUUUAAGUAGAGACAGAGUCUCGCCAUAUUGGCCAGGCUGGUCUCGAACUCCUGGCCUCAAGUGAUCUGCCCACCCUGGCCUCCCGAAAUGCUAAGAUUCCAGGUAUGAGUCACUGCGCCUGACCCACCUGUCUAAUUUUUAAAUUUUUUUUAGAGGCUGGGUCUCACUAUGUUUUUCAGGCUGGUCUUUGACUCCUGGGCUCAAGCAGUCCUCCCACCUUGGCCUCACAGAAUGCUGGGAUUACAGGUGCGAGCCCCUGUGCCUGGACACAACCUAUUAAUAGUAGUAGUAAUAAUAAUAACAUGUCCCCCUGUCCUUCUCUGGCCUUACUGAGUAGUCCCAGGCUUUCCCCACAUGCCUCUCAGGACUCAGUUUCCCCAUCUCGAUGCUCUUUCAGUCCCCUCUCUUGCCGGGUGUCCUAGUGGCCAGGGUGGUGGGUGGGGCCGCUAUCUUCCUGGCCUGUUUGCUCUCCCUCUUCCGGGGCUGCUACCCUGGCCAAGGCCCUUGAAUAAAAGGCAAGGGCACCUAUGUCCUGCUUCCUUCUCUCCAGCCUGGAUCAUGCUCUGGCUCCUCUCUGCCCUGGUGCUCCUGGGAGCGCUGGCCACCCCAGCAGGAAGCUCCAAGACAUGUCCAGCCUGCUCUUUGCUGCGAAACUGCACUAAAAUAACUUGUCCUUCUGCCCAGGACUCCUGCUUGUUUAGCCAGAUGCAGCUGGAAAAUGGGACUCUCAUUGAGAAGGGGUCAUGUGUGGCCCCUGGAGAAUGCCAAGAAGGUGUCUACGCCCUGACCUACGGCCCCCAUGCAAGUCUCUGGGUCAGCACAGCCUGUUGCGAAAACAACUGCAGUAGCCUUCCCCAGCAAGAGGCAGGGCCCAAGGCCAAGCUCAACACUGUGAAAUGUCACUACUGUUCCGGGAAUAUGUCAGCUUCAUGUGACUCCCUUUUGGUCAUGAACUGCACUGGGAAACAGACUGCAUGUGUCACCCUCAACGGGACCUGGAGUAGAGGGGGUCCCCAAAUUCUGAAGGGCUGUGCUACACCAGAGGUCUGCAACUUAUAUGAGAAUGCCACCCUGGGUCCAGAAGACUCUGGAUUUCAUCUCACCGCUAAGCCUGAAUGCAACUACCUUACUCCUCCUACACAGCCAGGUCCUCAUGCAACUGUGACACACGCCAAAGCUGAGACCACCAUCUGCUUCACCUGCUCAGACCUCCACAGCUGUGGCCCACUUCCGUGCCCAGAGGAUAAUAACUACUGCCUUCAGAUCGCAGGCAUCACAGCAAUUCAUCUGGCCUCACACACCCUGAGUGAGAUCUUGUGUCCUACAUGUCCUGGGAGCUCCUUGGAGCCCUGCAAUUCCUCCUUCUACAUGCAGUGUCCCAGUGGGGAAACUGAGUGUGUCCAGCUGGACCUGACGUCUGAAGAAGGCGGCCGGAACGUGAGCGUACGCGGCUGCGGCUCCAGAGACCUGUGCAGCGCCCUGUACUGGACCCACGGGCUCCCGGUGCUACCGAGACAUCGGCUGUCCAGCCACUGCAGCCCCGGCCGCCGCGCGGUCCUAGAGUCCCACUGCCGCUCGGGCGCCGCGCCCGGCCUCCGCCUCACCCUGCCGGUUCUGGCGGCAGUCCUGGCGACCGCGACGCUGUCCUAAGGAAUCCCGCCUGGACCACCCUGCCGUCCAGGAGGCCCCCUCCUCCUGCUUGUCGGGCACGUCGCUAGAUGGUGCCCUGGCUCCCCUCUGCUGGGGCAAUGAGCAGACCUGGAAGCUUCUGGUGAGAAACUCAGGAAGUAGGGGUGAUCUGCCUCCCUCAGACUAGUGCUUCCCAAAGCCAGACCUUCUGCUCCAGACUCAGGGCUUACUCACGGCUAAGUCCUCUUUCCUCCCACCAGGGCCCCAAAGGCCAUGCCUCCAUCAGCCUAGGGUGUGUCUUCCCCCCUCAGACUAAGGCCACUCACCCCCUGCUGAGAUCAGACCUUUGCUCAGCUCAGGCGAGGGGGGGGGGGCGCUGUACCUCCCCACUCUGAUUGGCACUUUCCCCAAGGCCAAACCUCCUCACUCAGAAGAGGGCUGUUCUUCUUCCUCAGGUUAGAGACACCCCCAUAGCUACACAUUCUUUCCUUUAGAUCAGAGGCCCUCAAAGACUAAGCCUCCUUCUUCAAACGAGGGGGUCCCCAACAUCCGGCUGCUCCUGGACACCAGGGAUGUGUCUCUUCUCCCACACAUUGACAAGCAACUUCUCCUCUUUCGUUCUCCCUCUUUGGGGUCUAGCAAAAUCCUGGGCAGCCAAGGUGGGGCUUGAGGAUCCAAUACACCCGCUUCCAAGGUUUUCAGGGCAGCCUCCUCCACCCCUACCGUGGUCCAAGACCGGGCAGGGGGCUUGGGUGGGGUGAAGAGCCCCUCUUCUGUGUGGGCUCAAUCUCCCAGCUGUAACCAGAUCUGAAUGAAUCACAUCUCACAAUGCCAAGUGGUCUGAGUUUCCUUUUUCUGACGUUUUAACCUCAAAGAGGGACCUGAUGUGGUCCUCUCUUCUCUGGGGCUAGAGGAGGUUAAGCCUCUUCAACUGGGGAACCUGGUGGGGACAUACUGACAACAGUGUCUGGGAGCCAGGGUGGGCAUAAGACCAAAUGCUGCAUCUAGAACUGAACUCAGAGGACUGAGCGGAGAGGUGACACUGGGGAGCUCACCAUAGGCAGAAAGCCAGGAACCGUUUGCUUUCUGCUGAAAGUGGCUGGGCGUGGUGGCUCACGCCUGUAAUCCCAGUGACCGGGGGCUGACAGUGGGAGAGAGGGCUACCUAAGAAACCACUCCAGGCCAUGCACCAGACAGAUUA
rnacentral:lncRNA from 1 species